UUUAGAUUUUUGAUUCUGGCAUCUAUGGAAACACGCUGAGGGCGUGCCUAAUACAUGCAAGUUAACACGACAAAGUCGAGCUUGCUCCCGAGAUGUUACUUCUCGGACGAGUGAGUGACGGGUGGAGUAACGCGCCUGUAAGACUGGGAUAAGUGGGGGGAUAACCGGAGGAAAUACCGGAUAGUUCCUUGAUACCUCAUGGUUCAAGAGAUGAAGGGGACGUUUCGGGCUGUCACGUUAUCAGAUGACCCUAGGUGCAUUUAGUAGUUGGUGUGGGUAAUGGCUCACACAAGGCGACGAUUCGUAGCCGACUUGAGAGAGGUGAUCGGCCACACAUGGGAAUGAGACACGGCCCAGACUCCUACGGGGGGCAGCAGUAGGGAAUCUUCCGCAAUGGGGGAAAGUCUGAAUGAGCAACGCCGCGUGAGUGAAGAAGGUUUUUGGAUCGUAAAGCUAUGUUGUUAGGGAAGAACAAGCAGUUGCGUAACUGCUCGCACCUUGACGGUACCUAACCAAAAAGCCACGGGUAAAUUCGUGCCCGCCGCCGGGGUAAUAACUAGGGGGCCAGGGUUGUCUGGAAUUUUUGGGGGUAAAGGGCUCGCUGGCGGUUUUUUAAGUUUGAAGUGAAAGCCCCCGGGUUAACCGGGGAGGGUCAUUGGAAAAUGGGAAAAUUGAGUGCAGAAGAGGGGAGUGGAAUUUCCCGUGGAGCGGUGAAAUGGGUAGAGAUGUGGAGGAACCCCCGUGGGGAAGGGGACUCUCUGGUAUGUAAAUGACGAUGAGGAGGGAAAGGGUGGGGGGGGAACCGGAUUAGAUACCCUGGUAGUUCCAGCCGUAAAAGAUGAUUAAUAAGCUUAGGGAGCUCCGCCCCUUAGUGGUGCAGCUAACGCAUAGCACUCCGCUGGAGACGCGAAGUGG
rnacentral:rRNA from 1 species